UACGAAGGCGGCGUGCGUUGCCCGGAUUUACUGGGCGUAAAGGGACCGUAGGCGGACUUUUAAGUGAGAUGUGAAAUACUCGGGCUUAAUCUGAGUGCUGCAUUUCAAACUGGAAGUUUAGAGUGCAGGAGAGGAGAAGGGAAUUCCUCGUGUAGGGCUGAAAUGCGUAGAGAUUAGGAAGAACACCAGUGGCGAAGGUGCUUCUCUGGACUUUAUCUGACUCUGAGGCUCUAGAGCUUUGGGAGCAAACAGG
rnacentral:rRNA from 1 species